CCAUUCGCCGCUCGCUGGUCGGGUGGUGCAGAUGGGUGAUGUACUUCCCUUUGCCAGUGUGCGUGCGUAUCUGUGUGGUGGUAGCGGACUCGUGUGUGGCAUAUGCAUCGCUCCACAAUCGCAUCAUUUUGAGCAAUUAAGUGUGUAUUAUCCGUCGCUGCGUCUGUCAAAGGGCCUUGAAAGCAACUUCAAAACCGAAUCCAGUCGCGGCUCGCAGUUGCUCCUGUUCCUGUUCCGCCACCGGAAGUACAUUGAAUGUGCCAGUGUGUAUGUGUGUGUAUCGGUAUAUGCGGCACACAGCAAACAAAUCAGUCUGCGAAUUUCAAAGUGAUCUAUGGCUUCCUACCUCUCGUCAAAUCCGCGCUUUUCAUGCGCAAAUUGUGCAUUUAAGUCCACAAUGGCGAACCAACAAAAGCAAGGGAAUGGGAUGCGGAGUGCUCGUUAUGUGGGAUAUGCGGAAUAUGCGAUCUGGGAUAUAGGAUACGUUGUGCACUCCUGUUGGGAUGCAAGUCCCCCUUGUGUUGCCUACUUUCACUUUUGUUCGGUGCUCAACUAACUGAAGGCGGACGGGAGGCGUUUUGCUGUCAAGUCUACGAGUUGGGAACCUCCUGCAAAGAUUGGUAGGG
ensembl:ncRNA lncRNA:CR43817 long non-coding RNA:CR43817